GAUUUCAGUUCACUCGAUGAUCCGAUUGCAGUAGUUCUUCAACUAGCAACUACUUAAAAUAAUCAGUGAAUAAUGACUUAAUUUCAAUGGGUUCCUUAAACAAAACUAUAAUUUACAAUCUAAUGCACGAGUAUAGACUACUUAAUUUUUUUUUGUAGCAUAUGCCACGUGGUCACCCUAAAAGACCUGCAUGAUUCAUCAGAAAUAAUUCUUUAUGGGUUUGUCACGACAUGAGGAUGGAAUGAUUAAAUGCGCGUGCCUGUGUGAAAAGAUACAGGCGCUGGCGGCAGGCCUGUCUGCGGGGCUGUGGUGAGUCUGGGUUUCCCCAGCUGGGUAUGCUUGUUUAUGCUUCCAUUUCAAGGCGGCUAGAGGACAGCGUGCCCGUCAACACAGCACCAGAGCAUGCAGUCCCAGUCACGGUGGUCACGCAGAUGGGUGAUGGGAUAUCCACUGGACAAACAACCAAACUGCAAACUACACAGACACCCACCAAGAUCAACACCUGCAACCAAACACACUUUAUGAACUCAGUUUCAAUACAUCUAAUACUUUAUACCCAUGUAUGUCUCAUGAAAGCACCUAUAAAUGCAAC